UACGAAGGGUGCAAGCGUUACUCGGAAUUACUGGGCGUAAAGCGUGCGUAGGUGGUCUGUUAAGUCUGAUGUGAAAGCCCUGGGCUCAACCUGGGAAUGGCAUUGGAUACUGGCAGGCUAGAGUGCGGUAGAGGAUGGCGGAAUUCCCGGUGUAGCAGUGAAAUGCGUAGAGAUCGGGAGGAACAUCUGUGGCGAAGGCGGCCAUCUGGACCAGCACUGACACUGAGGCACGGAAAGCGUGGGGAGCAAACAGG
rnacentral:rRNA from 1 species